AUGGACUCGGCUGUUUUGAAGUUUUGAAGAAAAGUAGGUUGCUGUAAAAGGAAGUGAAUCAAUAGGAUUUUUGGACAAAUGGCACAGAGGGAAGAGAAUUCUUAGUUGAAUAAAUGCUGCAUCCAGAUUCGGUUAGUGUUCAUGCCCGUAGAGAACUUUUUCUAGCAAGCACGGAAUGAGUGAGAGCUCAAAGCGUAGAGGAAAUUCCUUCUCUUAUCCA
rnacentral:misc_RNA from 1 species